rnacentral:rRNA from 1 species
GAAGUUAACGCAUUAACCACUCCGCCUGGGGAGUACGGCCGCAAGGCUUAAACUCAAAGGAAUUGACGGGGACCCGCACAAGCGGUGGAGCAUGUGGUUUAAUUCGAAGCAACGCGAAGAACCAUACCAGCUCUUGACAUCUUCUGACAACUCUGGAGAUAGAGUGUUCCCUUCGGGGACAGAAUGACAGGUGGUGCAUGGUUGUCGUCAGCUCGUGUCGUGAGAUGUUGGGUUAAGUCCCGUAACGAGCGCAACCCUUGUUGCCAGUUCUCAGCAUUUAGUUGGGCACUCUGGCGAGACAGCCGGUGACAAACCGGAGGAAGGUGGGGAUGACGUCAAAUCAGCAUGCCCCUUAUGAGCUGGGCUACACACGUGCUACAUAUGUGAUGGUACAGCUGAGUCGCUAAACCGCGAGGUCAAGCUAAUCUCCUAAAUCCAUUAUCAGUCCGGAUUGCAGGCUGCAACUCGCCUGCAUGAAGCCGGAAUCGCUAGUAAUCGUGG